rnacentral:rRNA from 1 species
UGGGGAAUAUUGCACAAUGGGCGAAAGCCUGAUGCAGCGACGCCGCGUGAGGGAUGACGGCCUUCGGGUUGUAAACCUCUCUCAGCAGGGAAGAAGCGAAAGUGACGGUACCUGCAGAAGAAGCGCCGGCUAACUACGUGCCAGCAGCCGCGGUAAUACGUAGGGCGCAAGCGUUGUCCGGAAUUAUUGGGCGUAAAGAGCUCGUAGGCGGUUAGUCGCGUCUGCUGUGAAAAUCUCGAGGCUCAACCUCGGGCUUGCAGUGGGUACGGGCUGACUAGAGUGCGGUAGGGGUGACUGGAAUUCCUGGUGUAGCGGUGGAAUGCGCAGAUAUCAGGAGGAACACCGAUGGCGAAGGCAGGUCACUGGGCCGCAACUGACGCUGAGGAGCGAAAGCAUGGGGAGCGAACAGGAUUAGAUACCCUGGUAGUCCAUGCCGUAAACGUUGGGCACUAGGUGUGGGG